rnacentral:miRNA from 1 species
UUCUAGUAGCAUUGCAUGGAC